rnacentral:rRNA from 1 species
GUAGGGUGCAAGCGUUAAUCGGAAUUACUGGGCGUAAAGCGUGCGCAGGCGGUUUUGUAAGACAGUGGUGAAAUCCCCGGGCUCAACCUGGGAACUGCCAUUGUGACUGCAAGGCUGGAGUGCGGCAGAGGGGGAUGGAAUUCCGCGUGUAGCAGUGAAAUGCGUAGAUAUGCGGAGGAACACCGAUGGCGAAGGCAAUCCCCUGGGCCUGCACUGACGCUCAUGCACGAAAGCGUGGGGAGCAAACAGGAUUAGAUACCCUGGUAGUCCCACGCCCCUAAACGAUGUCAACUGGUUGUUGGGAAUUUAUUUUCUCAGUAACGAAGCUAACGCGUGAAGUUGACCGCCUGGGAGUACGGCCGCAAGGUUA